rnacentral:rRNA from 1 species
UACGUAGGGCGCAAGCGUUGUCCGGAAUUAUUGGGCGUGAAGAGCUCGUAGGCGGCUUGUCACGUCGGGUGUGAAAGCCCGGGGCUUAACCCCGGGUCUGCAUUCGAUACGGGCUAGCUAGAGUGUGGUAGGGGAGAUCGGAAUUCCUGGUGUAGCGGUGAAAUGCGCAGAUAUCAGGAGGAACACCGGUGGCGAAGGCGGAUCUCUGGGCCAUUACUGACGCUGAGGAGCGAAAGCGUGGGGAGCGAACAGG